GUGUGCGUAAUUUAAAAAAAAUAUCAAGCUGUGACCUUGACAAUAGGAACGCCCACACACC
rnacentral:tRNA from 1 species